GCCGCUAUCGUCUAACGGUUAGGACACAGGAUUCUCAAUCCUGCAAUCGGGGUCCGAUUCCCCGUAGCGGUACCA
rnacentral:tRNA from 1 species